GGCCCAGUGGCGGAUGGUCCGCGCCUGCAUCCUAUCCACAUGCAAGAUGUGUGCUGGCAUUAUGCAGGAACAGCUCGUUCGAAUCGAGCCUGGGCCA